ACCCCGGCUGUAGCACAAUGGAUAGCGCGUUGGACUUUUCAUCCAAGGGUCGUGGGUUCGUAUCCCACCUGGGAUA